GGCGGCGCUUCGGAUAAGGCGCGCCCUCCGGCGACUUCUGCUUGCCGAUCCGCUGGCUCUGAGACCGGCGCAGCGUUG
rnacentral:tRNA from 1 species